CAGUCGCCGCGGGAAUACGUAGGGUGCGAGCGUUAAUCGGAAUUACUGGGCGUAAAGCGUGCGCAGGCGGUUGUGUAAGACAGGUGUGAAAUCCCCGGGCUUAACCUGAGAACUGCGCUUGUGACUGCACAGCUAGGGUAUGGCAGAGGGGGGUGGAAUUCCACGUGUAGCAGUGAAAUGCGUAGAUCUCGAGAGGAACACCAAUGGCGAAGGCAGCUUCUUGGUCCAUUCCUGACGUUCAUACACGAAAGCGUGGGGAGCAAACAGGAUUAGAGACCCCCGUAGUCCCUGUCUCUUAUAC
rnacentral:rRNA from 1 species